AUGCGAAAACUGAAUUUUCAAGAAAAAAAAUUGAAAAUAUCUGGCUCCAUUCUCUCUCCCAUCCUCCAGCGUAUGAAAAAUAGAAAGGGAAAACAUCAAUCACGCCAUCGCUGGGCAAGGUUUUCUUUCGAAGAGAGCAGCACUCCGAGCGCCCGCUCUCGACAGAGGCUACGGCUCGAUUCGAUUCCAUUCCGACUCGUGCAUUGUCGAUCGAUCGAUCGAAUCGAUUCGAUGGAGGAUCGGGGGGUUGGAGGAGGUAGAGAAAGCUCGGUUGCUCAGCUUGGCUCUCGACUUCGGCUUCGACGAGCAGUCCGCCACCAAGUGCCUGGACCGCCUCGUUUCCCUCUACGGUAACUCGAAUCGUCUCUUCGUCGCCCAUUUCUUGUGCUGAUUAGCGUUUGCAGAGGUGUUUCUCGUCCCCACCAUGACGAUGGCUGUAGAACAGGGUGCUUAGUGAAGUAGUAUUACUGACGAGCAAAAUGUCUGGCACGGUUCCAGUUUGACGUGUCGAGGCUCCUUUGGAUGGUGGUUUCUCUUGGUCAUUGCCCGAAUUGGGUGGUAUAUGGUGAUUAGGGAAUGGCGUAAUUGCUUGUGUUGCGUGCAUGAUUUUUGAAUCGAUUGAUUGUGCGUUCCUAAAUAAGGAGAUUUGUUGCGGUUAGUCAGUGUUCUGAUGAUGGCUCUGAAAUUGCCUACUUUGGAUUUGAAUGGAAUGGAGCUGGUUGAGUUUUUGUUCAUUGACUGUUAAUCUCAUUGUCAUUUCUUUGUGGGUUUGGCGGAGUAGUCUUAUUGACUUGCAAAAUCAUCUCUUUCUUCGUUUGGUUUUUCUUAAAGUGACAAAGGUCGAGAGUUUAUCACCGUGGAGCACUGUGGCGAUGAUUUUCUAGCAGAACUUGCCGAAACUAUGCAAGAUACUGGGGAUUGGGAUGAUUUGCAAGCUGCGGAAUUAGAAGCUUGUGGAGUUUUGACUGACAUGUUUGGCCAAGAUAUCCCUAAUGAGGGCGAAUGCAGUGUUGUGCACAAUGUUAAUAUUAUAGAAGAUUCUCCACAACCUGAGAAAAAUCAAACUUUUCUUGAGGUAGAUUCCUCCACUGGCGGUGAGGAUGAAGAUGAUAUAUUUGGCAGUAAAAUGGGCAGGAAAUCGAUAUGCUAUAUUCCUGAUCAAAGCAGUACUCCGGGCAAUUCAUCCACUCAACUUCUGGCCAGACAUUCUUUAGAAUCCAUGGUAUGCUUCUGAAAACUGUGAAGUUGUCUCACUCCUUUCUGCCCCCACCAGUUUGAAGGGAUUAAGAAAAAGAAAGAAAAACAGGGUGGCUUGAUUUGGCUUGGGAUUGGCCCGUGUAAUUGCAUGGACCAAAUACGCGGCUUGAAGAAUGUCUCACUAUUGUAUAGGGUUGGCCGUUCGGUGAAGCAACUGUGGACACCUGAAGAAGCCACAAUAGUUACCGGGCAAAUUCCAGGAGUCUGGCCACAAUGGUCCAGUUGUUUAGGAGGUUGACAAAAAGUUGGCAGAUCUUGGCACGUCCUUUUAUUCUUUUAACAAUGAAUAUGCAACCCAUGUUUUUAUAUAUUCUUGUUGCUGAGGUAUAUUGGGGCCAACAUGGAAAAUGAGAAGAAUUGAGAAUAGAUUAUCUUGGUUUUUGAUCGAGAGAGAUUAGAGUGUCCUCAGAAAACUCUUGGGAAACGCUUUCCACUCGUCUCGUUCGUUUUUGAUUGACUCUUGCAAUUAGGGUUUUGGUUAGUGAGAAAUUGAUUUCUUUCUUGUUGUAAUUCACUCUUGGUCAUUCUGAAAUAACUCCUCCCGUUGACGUAGACGAAACUGCCCAACCCCUUAAAUUGGUGUGUCGCUGUUCUUUGCUCUUAAAAUUAUGUCUUUCCUUGAUCAUUUCCAGUUUGUUUGUAACUCUGCUCACAGCAAAAGACCUUACGCAGGGUACCUGUACAAAAGCAUUUAGUAAACUGAUUAUGAGGGCUCUCAUAUGACCAAAUGUAUAAUAGACACUCCUAACUCGCCAGUUACUUCCACAGUCUGUAAGAUCUAAAAUGACUUAUAUUUGAUUUGUUUGGUCAAUAAAAACAGUUGAGUUUUGUUUUGGAUGAUGUAACAAUACCUAUAUUUUCUCAAAUAUUUUGAGAGUAUAGUACAUCAUCCAAGUGUGGAACUUAGCAUCCAGCGUCUUCGAUAGGAGUGUUUCGUGAUAUGAAGGCUUGGGAUUUCUUUGUGCACAAUUUUCAUUUUGCAUCACUCCAUGUCAGAAACUAUUUAUGGUGCUGAAGAGGCAUAUUUGUGUUGAAGGACUGUAAGAACGCUGUCACUCAAGGUUCGAUAUCAUCAGUUUCAAAUAAAGACAUUCCUCUCAGAUUUUGACGUGCAAACUAGGAACUGUGAGUUAUGAGGAAUUGCAAGGCUUGGAUGACAUAGAAUUGGCAAAUGUUGUGAUAUUCGGAAACAAGGCGUUUCAACCAAUGCAGCAUCAGGGUUGUAAAGCUUCUGUAGCCAAGCAAGAUUGCUUCAUCUCAUGCCCACUAGAGGUGGUAAAAGUUUAUGUUACUAGGUUAGUGAAUGCUAACAUUAUUUCAUUUGUGUAAUGAUUGUACGUAGAAGUAUGUGUGGAGACAAUGUUUAGAGCACAAGCCCUGUGCACUUUGCUCAAUGGUUCCACCAACUAAAUGUCAAAGGGUGGACCUGUAUGUCAAAAUUUAAGCUUUAACAUGAUCUAAUAAUCUGCUUUGUUUAGCACUAUUAAGAAGGUUGUGAACUUAAGGAAGGAAAUGUUUAUCAAAUGAAAAUUAAGCAAUAGGAAGUGAAACAGGUACAUAACCAUGGUUUCCAA